GCGAGUCAUUGUAGCAAUACAAGGCAGACGGCUCAGUAACGCGUAGUCAAUCUACCCUAUGGACGGGAAUAACCUCGGGAAACUGAGAAUAAUGCCCGACAGAACAUUAUACCUGGAACGGUUUAUGUUUCAAAUGAUUUAUCGCCGUAGGAUGGGACUGCGGCCUAUCAGUUUGUUGGUGAGGUAAUGGCCCACCAAGACUAUUACAGGUACGGGCUCUGAGAGGAGUAGCCCGGAGAUGGGUACUGAGACACGGACCCAGGCCCUAUGGGGCGCAGCAGGCGAGAAAACUUUGCAAUGUGCGAAGGCACGACAAGGUUAAUCCGAGUGGUUUCUGCUAAAGAAACCUUUUGCUAGUCCUAGAAACACUAGUGAAUAAGGGGUGGGCAAGUUCUGGUGUCAGCCGCCGCGGUAAAACCAGCACCUCAAGUGGUCAGGAUGAUUAUUGGGCCUAAAGCAUCCGUAGCUCGUUUUGUAAGUUUUCGGUUAAAUCCAUACGCUUAACGUAUGGGCUGCCGGGAAUACUGCAUAACUAGGAAGUGGGAGAGGUAGACGGUACUCGGUAGGAAGGGGUAAAAUCCUUUGAUCUAUUGAUGACCACCUGUGGCGAAGGCGGUCUACCAGAACACGUUCGACGGUGAGGGAUGAAAGCUGGGGGAGCAAACCGGAUUAGAUACCCGGGUAGUCCCAGCUGUAAACUAUGCAAACUCAGUGAUGCAUUGGCUUGUGGCCAAUGCAGUGCUGCAGGGAAGCCGUUAAGUUUGCCGCCCUGGGAAGUACGUACGCAAGUAUGAAACUUAAAGGAAUUGGCGGGGGAGCACCACAAGGGGUGAAGCCUGCGGU
rnacentral:rRNA from 1 species